rnacentral:misc_RNA from 1 species
GUGAGUCAUCGAAUCUUUGAACGCACAUUGCGCCCGCCAGUAUUCUGGCGGGCAUGCCUGUUCGAGCGUCAUUUCAACCCUCAAGCUUGGCUUGGUGUUGGGGCCUUGCGGCUACCGCAAGCCCUGAAAAGCAGUGGCGGGCUCGCUAUAACUCCGAGCGUAGUAACAUAUCUCGUUCUGGAAGGAUGGCGGGUGCCGGCCGUUAAAACCCCUACUUUUUUAAGGUUGACCUCGGAUCAGGUAGGAAUACCCGCUGAACUUAAGCAUAUCAAUAAGCGGAGGA